rnacentral:rRNA from 1 species
AUGGAUAUUGCGUCCCCCAAAGAACAUGAUGAUGAAAGUGAGUAUUUUGCUUCAUGGGUAGUUAGGAAGCAACUAUACCCGGAGACUGUCAACUGGAUACCGCCGGUUCGGAUCUUCCGGUACACAGCUAUCUUUGAGGAGGCCUGGGGUUGGGACCGGCUACUGCCACAUACCAGUGUUCCGAUCCCCACGUAUUUGGAGUACCUGACGGAGUAUCACAAGCGCAAUCGCAUGGAUUACGUUGCUGCUGCCGCUGGCAACUCAAAACCUGAAGACUGGCCGCUCAAAUACCGAGCAGUGAAUAAUGAUACCCAAUUCGACCCGGAUGCGUCACUUGUAGAUGCCGCCCAGUUUUGUCUGAAAAUGGAGGAGCGUUUCAUGUUGGCAUGGAAUAACAAACGCGUCCGCAAUGUGAAACAUCUGAGCCAAUUGAUACAGGAGCGAGCCCGUGCCAUCAUCUCCACUAGUGAAGAAUUCUCUGAAACUGCUGCUGCUAGCUUGGUGUGUAUCUCCAAUGAGGCUGUUUUGGCGUCUGAGCUUCUGCACCGUUGGGCUAAAUCCACUGACGAGGAAAUCAGAUUAUGCAACCUCAUCCGCCACUGUGCACUGAAUUUAAUGCACAUUACUGGGCCUGAAUCUGCUGCCUCCAUUGCUGCCAUGGUGGGUGUUGCUAAGGAGGCCAGGCUAAUGUGCCAGUGGAUGGGGCAAACAAAGAAACUUUAUGCCUACCGCUCUUACAAUCAUCCACCCCAUGAGAUGUAUCUUUGCGACAUGAUCCGUGAGGCCGUCCUUAAGGUUAUGAGCCACGUACUGAACAAUUACUCAAGGGGCAACAAUACUUACAUGGUAAUGGAUUUUCAAAAGAAGAACAGGAAGCGAAAGACCAAGGUGGAAACCUCAGAUGACGAGUUAUCACAGGCGUCACUUGAUGAACAGGCGCCACUUGAUGAACGGUCACCAAAAGCCAAUGCGGUAACCUUAAAUGAGAAGUAUCACAGACGGUCUUUCCUCCUGUUGUAA